AGUGAACGCUGGCGGUAGGCCUAACACAUGCAAGUCGAACGGCAGCACAGUAAGAGCUUGCUCUUACGGUGGCGAGUGGCGGACGGGUGAGGAAUACAUCGGAAUCUACUUUUUCGUGGGGGGUAACGGAGGGAAACUUACGCUAAUACCGCAUACGACCUACGGGUGAAAGCAGGGGAUCUUCGGACCUUGCGCGAUUGAAUGAGCCGAUGUCGGAUUAGCUAGUUGGCGGGGUAAAGGCCCACCAAGGCGACGAUCCGUAGCUGGUCUGAGAGGAUGAUCAGCCACACUGGAACUGAGACACGGUCCAGACUCCUACGGGAGGCAGCAGUGGGGAAUAUUGGACAAUGGGCGCAAGCCUGAUCCAGCCAUACCGCGUGGGUGAAGAAGGCCUUCGGGUUGUAAAGCCCUUUUGUUGGGAAAGAAAAGCAGCAGGUUAAUACCCCGCUGUUCUGACGGUACCCAAAGAAUAAGCACCGGCUAACUUCGUG
rnacentral:rRNA from 1 species